rnacentral:rRNA from 1 species
CAGGGUAGAAGGUGAGUCGUAAGGCUUGCUGGACUGGUUAGAAAAGAAAAUGUAGGCAUAAGUAACGAUAAUGCGGGCGAGAAACCCGCACACCGAAAAACUAAGGUUUCCACAGCUAUGCUAAUCAGCUGUGGGUUAGUCUGGUCCUAAGGCGAACCCGAAAGGGACAGUCGAUGGCCAACGGGUUAAUAUUCCCGUACUACUAUUAAUUGUGAUGGGGUGACGGAGUGAUGAAAGCGCCGCGAACUGACGGAAUAGUUCGUUGAAGUACCUACCUAUAAGAACCGCAGGCAAAUCCACGGUUUUUGGGGAAAUACGAUAGUACUCGGAGCCUUCGGGCAAAGAGAUAGUGCGCCUAAGGGCUUCCAAGAAAAACCUCUAAACUUCAGAUUAAUAGUACCAGUACCGUAAACCGACACAGGUAGUUGAGGAGAGAAUCCUAAGGUGCUCGAGAGAUUCAUGGCUAAGGAAUUAGGCAAAAUAGACCCGUAACUUCGGGAGAAGGGUCGCCAGCAGCAAUGCUGGCCGCAGUGAAGAGGUCCAGGCGACUGUUUAUCAAAAACACAGGGCUCUGCAAAAUCGUAAGAUGAAGUAUAGGGCCUGACACCUGCCCGGUGCUGGAAGGUUAAGUGGAGAUGUUAUGGGUAACCAGAAGCAUUGAAAUGAAGCCCCAGUAAACGGCGGCCGUAACUAUAACGGUCCUAAGGUAGCGAAAUUCCUUGUCGGGUAAGUUCCGACCUGCACGAAUGGUGUAACGAUCUGGACACUGUCUCAGCCAUGAGCUCGGUGAAAUUGUAGUAACGGUGAAGAUGCCGUUUACCCGCAGUGGGACGAAAAGACCCUGUGCACCUUUACUAUAGCUUAGUAUUGACCUUGGAUAAAUGAUGUGUAGGAUAGGUUGGAGACUGUGAAGUGGCGUCGCUAGGCGUUGUGGAGUCAUUGUUGAAAUACAACCCUUUGUUUAUCUGAGGCCUAACCCCGCAUAAGUGGGGGACAUUGCUUGGUGGGUAGUUUGACUGGGGUGGUCGCCUCCAAAAGAGUAACGGAGGCUUCUAAAGGUUCCCUCAGCACGCUUGGUA